UUUGAAGGACAUUGUUCAUUAUAAUGUUUUCUAAGUAUCAGUUUUCAGGGAUGAUUGUAGCUGGAUCCAGUCUGUAGUUGUUCUUGGAGACAUGCUGAGUUCAUCCAUCCCACUAAUUAGCUAGAGCAAGUUGAGCCGUGAUAUAGAAGUUAUUUGUUCUUGCUUGCUUUUUCUUGUGUUUAUAUUCAGGCCUAACUUCACCAAUUUGUUGUUCCUUUAUUUUCUAACUCUUCAUCCAUCCCACUAAUUAAUUAGAGCAAGUUGAGCCAUGUAUAUGUUUUUCUUCAGGGUUUGGACAUCAAUGCUGUAUUUCUCAAUUUUGUGGCUUUCGUACCAUUCUCAUUGGGAAUGAUUGUCCUGUGUGAUCUAUCAUGGUUAUUCUCUUCAGCAUCCAGUCCUAUGCUAGCAAGAGUAAUGACACAAGUGGAUAUGCCAAGCAAAUAUGUCCUGCUUGGAUCAUAUAUGCUUCUGUAACAACACUGAUUCAGAUUGAUACCUCCUGUUAAUUGGCUGGUUGCAGUGGCGACGCAUCAAGGUGCAAGGCAGCGGCAGCAAGUUCAUACUACGGGAAGGGAAGAUCUCCUACUAUUUUUUAUUCUCCAUGACAUAGACAUUUGAUUAAGUCAAAGGCAACAGGACUAUCUGAUAUGUUAUCGACGUCUAAAACCCAUCUUAAGUUUUGUAUCUUAUUGAUUCGGUCAUUUACUCUGGUAAAAAGUGUUAAUGAUGGAGAAAUGGGUGAGUUAAAUAAUGCAAACCAGCAAACAAAAUGGUAGUUGUUUCCGCACAAAAAAUUGCUUUGCUUUAAAAUUUUGCUCUGUAUAUGUUCGACGCUUGGAUUAGUUACGUGUGCAUCUAACCUAAGUUUGUAUAUCAUGACGAUCAUCACUUCUAAGUGAAUACUGUCUAUUACCAGUCAAAUGUACCUAUCUAUUCUCUUUGCAUUUCACCUGCUUUUAUAUGAUGUCUGUCACCGGGUUAGUUAAAACGUACUGUAUGGGGUGCGGCUGGCAGUAGGUGCCUCGCCUCUUCUGAUUCACCCUGCUGCACCUCUUUUCCAUCCUCUGAUUCACCCUACUGUGCAGUAGGUGCCUCGCCUCCUCGGCACUCUCCAAGAGCCUAGGUGAGCUGCUGUCUGUUCUCUGCCCAUAAUGUUUUUCCAUUUUGUAUGUUUUUCUCCAUAGUUGUUAAUCAGUUAAUCCCGCACUGGAUUGGGUAGUAGCAUUGUCUACUGGAUGCUUACCAAUGGAAUCAUCUGGGCUAAGAAAAUGUACUCUAUU